UACACGAAAGCCGGUAACUUAGUCUGUUCUGGUAAGAGGUCUAGUUUCUGGUUCAGUACUAGAUCAGUUCCUAUUUUGCGUCCUUUGUCUUACGCAAAGAAUUACUGCGGAACUGAAUUUUGAGUUUGUUGGAUUGUGGGCUACAGGGGCGGCACACCUCACAGCAAGACAGUCCCUGGUUCAAAUCCUGGCCUGGGCCUUUCUGUGUCCAGUUUGCACGUUCUCUCCGUGUCUGCAUGGGUUUCCUCCAGGUACACCAGUAUCCUCCCACAGUCCAAAGACAUGCAGUCCUCCAGAGACUCUGAAGACAUUCAUGAAGACAUGGUGGUACGAGACAAAACCAGAAACACACUUAAGUCCUCAUUUCUUAUAAAAAUAAAGGUGCAGAACAGCCAAA